rnacentral:rRNA from 1 species
GACGAACGCUGGCGGCGUGCUUAACACAUGCAAGUCGAACGGAAAGGCCCUGCUUUUGUGGGGUGCUCGAGUGGCGAACGGGUGAGUAACACGUGAGUAACCUGCCCUUGACUUUGGGAUAACUUCAGGAAACUGGGGCUAAUACCGGAUAGGAGCUCCUGCUGCAUGGUGGGGGUUGGAAAGUUUCGGCGGUUGGGGAUGGACUCGCGGCUUAUCAGCUUGUUGGGGGGGUAGUGGCUUACCAAGGCUUUGACGGGUAGCCGGCCUGAGAGGGUGACCGGCCACAUUGCGCCUGAGAUACGGCCCAGACGCCAACGGGAGGCAGCAGUGGGGAAUAUUGCACAAUGGGCGGAAGCCUGAUGCAGCAACGCCGCGUGCGGAAUGACGGCCUUCGAGUUGUAAACCGCUUUCGCCUGUGACGAAGCGUGAGUGACGGUAAUGGGUAAAGAAGCACCGGCUAACUACGUG